AUUGAACGCUGGCGGCAGGCUUAACACAUGCAAGUCGAGCGGGGAAAUGUAGCUUGCUACAUUACCUAGCGGCGGACGGGUGAGUAAUGCUUAGGAAUCUGCCUAUUAGUGGGGGACAACAUUUCGAAAGGAAUGCUAAUACCGCAUACGCCCUACGGGGGAAAGCAGGGGAUCUUCGGACCUUGCGCUAAUAGAUGAGCCUAAGUCGGAUUAGCUAGUUGGUGGGGUAAAGGCCUACCAAGGCGACGAUCUGUAGCGGGUCUGAGAGGAUGAUCCGCCACACUGGGACUGAGACACGGCCCAGACUCCUACGGGAGGCAGCAGUGGGGAAUAUUGGACAAUGGGGGGAACCCUGAUCCAGCCAUGCCGCGUGUGUGAAGAAGGCCUUUUGGUUGUAAAGCACUUUAAGCGAGGAGGAGGCUACCUAGAUUAAUACUCUGGGAUAGUGGACGUUACUCGCAGAAUAAGCACCGGCUAACUCUGUGCCAGCAGCCGCGGUAAUACAGAGGGUGCAAGCGUUAAUCGGAUUUACUGGGCGUAAAGCGUGCGUAGGUGGCCAAUUAAGUCAAAUGUGAAAUCCCCGAGCUUAACUUGGGAAUUGCAUUCGAUACUGGUUGGCUAGAGUAUGGGAGAGGAUGGUAGAAUUCCAGGUGUAGCGGUGAAAUGCGUAGAGAUCUGGAGGAAUACCGAUGGCGAAGGCAGCCAUCUGGCCUAAUACUGACACUGAGGUACGAAAGCAUGGGGAGCAAACAGGAUUAGAUACCCUGGUAGUCCAUGCCGUAAACGAUGUCUACUAGCCGUUGGGGUCUUUGAGACUUUAGUGGCGCAGCUAACGCGAUAAGUAGACCGCCCUGGGGAGUACGGUCGCAAGACUAAAACUCAAAUGAAUUGACGGGGGCCCGCACA
rnacentral:rRNA from 1 species